UCGCCGCCUUCGUCAUCUAACAUUUUUGUCUACGCCCACAUGAGUACAGCAUACCAAACAGGUCUUGGGAGCCCGUAAUAACCAGGUUGCAAAGAGCAUGACAAGAAAAAAAGGAUCAAGCUCAUACCGUGAAGUGAACCCAGCCAACAGAGAGGAUGCAGUUUUGGAACAUCACAGGCCGAUACAUCCAGGACCAGGACAAAAAAAUGGUGGUGGACUUCAGAAGAUCCAAACCUCAACCUGAACCGGUUUGCAUAAAUGGUGACAGUGUGACAACAUCACGGCCAAUCCACUGCAUCCACUGCACAGCACCAUCUCCAGGUCCUGGUACCCUGUUGAUGAACUGGUUCUGCUAAAUAAAUCGCCUAGAAAACGCUACCGCUCAAGAAAAGGUACAACGUAUUUCGUUGUUUAUUGAAUACAAUCGCAUACGCAGACUCAGCGAAACUACA